ensembl:snRNA U6 U6 spliceosomal RNA
GUGCUUGCUUCGGCAGCAUGUAUACUAAAAUUGGAACGAUACAGAGAAGAUCAGCAUGGCCUCUGCACAAGGAUGACAUGCAAAUGUGUGAAGCGGUCCAUAUUUUU